CCUACGGGUGGCAGCAGUGAGGAAUAUUGGUCAAUGGACGAGAGUCUGAACCAGCCAAGUAGCGUGAAGGAUGACUGCCCUAUGGGUUGUAAACUUCUUUUAUAUGGGAAUAAAAUGUUCCACGUGUGGGAUUUUGUAUGUACCAUAUGAAUAAGGGUCGGCUAACUCCGUGCCAGCAGCCGCGGUAAUACGGAGGAUCCGAGCGUUAUCCGGAUUUAUUGGGUUUAAAGGGAGCGUAGGUGGAUUGUUAAGUCAGUUGUGAAAGUUUGCGGCUCAACCGUAAAAUUGCAGUUGAAACUGGCAGUCUUGAGUACAGUAGAGGUGGGCGGAAUUCGUGGUGUAGCGGUGAAAUGCUUAGAUAUCACGAAGAACUCCGAUUGCGAAGGCAGUUCACUGGACUGCAACUGACACUGAGGCUCGAAAGUGUGGGUAUCAAACAGGAUUAGAUACCCGUGUAGUC
rnacentral:rRNA from 1 species